rnacentral:lncRNA from 1 species
AUUUCAUCACUAUCCCUCUAAAAUAUAUAAAUAUCGCAAAUACCCCUGCAAAGUUGAAAAUAUCAUAUAUAUCCUUUUAAAUGCAAAAAAUUUUCACAAGUACCCUUCCUUCCAACGGCCGUUACUAUAACCAUGGUUAAAGAUUGGUUAAGUGAAGGUUGAGUUACAAAAUGACUAAUUUAGCCCUAAAAAAGUUUAGAUAUUAUUUGACAGUAAGUAAUUAAGGGGCAAUUUCAUAAGUACCCUUCUAAAUGUUGAAAAUAACAUCUCUAACACAAAUUAUUAGUGGGUAAAAAAUAAAGAAAACCCUCACCUAUAAAUCAUUUUGAACUAAACCCCUUUAAAUUUUAUUUUUUAAUAUUAAGAGCCCUUGAACUAUCAGUUUUUUUUUUAUUUGGACUUUACUUAGUUAAAAGUUUUUCAAUUGAGAUAAAAUUUGAUUAAAUUUUUAAUUUUUUGUUGGGAAAAAAACACUCAAUUGCUAAAAUAAAAAAAAAAACACUUAGAUUGAGAGGGUAUAUAUAUGUAGAGAGAGAGAGAGAGAGAGAGAGAGAUUUGCUACAAUACUAUCGGUAGUACAGUGCGGUUUACUACGACUUGUUUUCAAUGAUAGAGAUUCCAAAUUGAAAAUUGGCACCAUUAAACAUAAUCUAAACUAUUAAACUAUCUGAAAAUAAAAUUUCAUGCUUUUGUGAGUUAGAAUCAUGUCGUAGUGGACUAUAAGUGAGAGGGUUUUCAUAAAAUUUUACUUUAUUGUUAACAAUAAAUUUUCAAUUAAAAUUUUUUUGUUUGAGCAAAUCAUAUAAGUAAUACUCUAAUAUCAAGAAUUUUGAUAUCAAAAUAUUUUUAGCCUGAGAUAUGUGAGUUAUUUAAAUAAAUUUUUUUUUAAAAUUUUUUUAAAUAAUUAAUGUUGAAUACUACUAUGGAUAAUUGUAUUACAACUAUGUAUAAUUUAAAAGUGAAAAAUCAUAAUGAGAUUUACUAUCACACUUAAUAGACUAUAGAUCUUUAAUUAUAAAUUUUUUUAAAAAAUGUUAAAUUAUUAUGUGAUUCAAAAGUUAGAAAUUGAUCAUAUAAUUAAUUUUAAAUAUUGCAUGGUUAAAUUCAUGCUAGGGGUAAAAUUGGUAUUUAUAAAAUAUUGGAUGACUUCUUGACAAAAAGUUAACCUAUAAAGCGUAUCUAUCAAUAUAUAUUAUUGGUUUUAAUAGGGGUAUUGAUGAUAUUUUUUAAUUUAGUGGGUUAUUCAUGAAAUUACGAUCUUCCAGAGGGGUAUUGAUAAAAUUAUCCCUUAUUUAUAAGGGUAUUUAUGAAAAGUGUAAAUAUAUCCGUUGCAAGUCGUACAAGGGUAAAAAUGGAAUUUACAACUUGUUCCGUUAGAUUUUUACGGCACGUUAUGUAUAGAAGUAUUUAUGAGUUUUUUUUAAAUUUAGAAGGACAUUUAUGAUAUUUUUUAAUUUUAGAAGAAUAUUGAUGAAAUUUCAGUCUCCUAUGUGGGUAUCUAUAAAAUUGUUUCUAAAUUAAACAUGUAUAGUAAUAU